UUAUAAAACAAACUCAAAUGUGGUAAUAAGCCCAACUAAGCCAUUUUUCAAAUUCACUUUCUCCUUCAUCUCCUUCUCAAUUCAAUACCUUCACUCUGUUCUUAUUAUUAUUUUUUUUGUCUUACCACCCACCACUUAUUUAGAUCACUAAUCUCUCUCCAAUUUCAAGUUCAGGAUUUUCUUUUAGCCAAAUAAAGAGAUCAAAAGAAAAAGAUGAUUGGACUGAUCCAAUCAAAUCGAGGUGAUCAAAUUUGAUGGUAGCGAUUGUGCCGUGGCUCAGUGAUAUCGAUUAGAUAUGAUCAAGACCGUAUGGACGAGGACUAAAACCUACAAGACGGGUUCGAGGCACUAGAAGCAGAAUUGGGAAGAUGGAGAUUAAGGAGCUAAAGGGAGAGAGGAUUAGGUGUUGGCUGGUGUAUACAUGAAAGGGGUGUUUCAGGGCUGGAGUAAAACUGUAGCAGGCUUGAAAUUGGGUUGGGGCAUGAAGAGGAUGUGAUUAUGGAUAUUGGCCAAGACUUGUUGGGUCCAAAGUUUA